AUCUCUUGCGCCUCCUGCGUUGGCUGGCAGAUUCUUUACCACUGAGCCACCUGGAAAGCUCCCUGUCCUAGGAUAGGGCACUACUAUCCUGACUUCUAACACCUGAGGUUCAUUCUGCCUGUUCUUGAACUUCAUAGAAAUGGGGCCAUGUAGCAUGCAGUCUUUUGGAGCUUAGCUUCUUUCCCUUAACAGGUCUGUGAGAUUCAUCCAUGUUGUGAGGGUCAGCAGUUAUUUAUUCCAUCGAAUGACUAUGCCACAACAUGUACAUCCAUCCUAUUUCCAAUAGAAAUUUGGUUGUUUUCAAUUCUUGGCUAACAUAAUGAAAUAUGAUGAAUUUUAUACAUAUUUUUGGUAUACACACCAAAAAUUUCCAUCAGUGCACUCAUUUUUCUUAAGCAUAUAAUUAGGAGUAGAAUUGCUGGGACAUAGGGCAGGUGUAUGUUUAGAAUUUAUACAUAGGGAAUAGGGUUUUUUUUUUUCUUUUUUUUUAAGCUCUUAAACUGGGCCUAAUGCUUAGCCAGGAUUAAGAAUAACUGUUCUGGAGGGUAAGUAGAAGCAUUUUCAGUAAACAUGGGUCUUCGUUGUAAUAAAACCUAAGACAAAAGAGGGUUUGCUAUGCCUUUAACAUAAUAAGGCCAGGUUUGUUACUUCUCAUGGGAUAAGGUCAAGGUCAAUUCUUAAGAGACAAGUACAUUUCUCAGUUAGCCUAAAUGGGAGUGGUUUACAAAAGAGAAAUUAACCUCACAUCUGAUUUCAAUAACCUUAGGAGAUAAUAAGCCAUUGCCUGAGGUGGAGAUACCCACAAGCCUCCUUUCCCUGCACCCCUCAUCUGUGGACCAGGACUCUUCCUUCUUACCACUUGGAAAACUAGAAGAAAGUAUCAAAGCUUACCUUCUCCACCAGCAGAAAGUGCCAAGGAGACAUCUCUUCAUAUUCAGGAGACGUUUGAGAUGGCUCAUUUUGUAACAUAGGAUGGGCUCUAAGGAACCGGCUCAGCAGUUGUGGUGCAUGGGCUUAGUGCUCCAUGGCACGUGAGGUCUCCCUGGACCAGGGAUCAAACUCAAGUCCAAUGUAUUGACAGGUGGAUUUUUUAACCACUGGAUCACCCCGGAAGCCCUAACUGAAAUCCUAACACACCAUGACUGUCUCUGAUGAGAACCCAGCUUUGAUGCAUGCAGCAUAUGGGGCCAUGCCAGAAAUUAAGGUCAUUUUCUCUGCCCUAACAUGCCCUAGAAGGUCAUGCUAUCUCUCAUGAGUCUUUGUGUUGUGAUGCUCUGGGCCCCUCUGGGGGAAAUCAAGCUCUAUUCUGUGGGAAGUGGAAGGACUCACAGUCUUUAAGGAGAAGCUUCCAGGUGACUGCGGGAUCUCCUAGGAACAAUCCAAGUACCUUUAAAGGGUGAAUCACCCCAUCUUCCUGGAAAAGUGAAAGAAAAGCUCUCAUGGGCUCAAAGGAGGAAAACAACUCUUGGGUAAAUCCCUGGGAUGGAUAAAAGCAGAACUUCUCAGGUGCUUGGUUCCUUGGGAUGGUUGGUGGGUCUCUAACUGGAAGCACUCCCUUGAAGCUGUCACUGCUUGAAGGGCUGCCUUGACUUUGCAUCGUGACAACUGAGGUCACAAUGAAUUCUACACUGAAUGGAUAGCAAUGUGGGCUUUCAAGGAGGCGUGUCAACAAUGGAUGGGUGGUACACCAAGACGUGGACGUUUUCUGUCCCCUAAAUUUCUCCUAUUUUCCUCCCCACUCUGAAGACUGGUAAUGUCAUCAAGUAUCCUUUUCUUUAAAUUUGCUAUCCGUCCAUUAGGGAACCAUUGACUAAAAUGACCUGCUCUGGCCAUGCAGGAUAAUAACCGUCUGCCUGAAUUAUCUCACAACAGGAGGUUCUGAUAAAGAAUAUGCAACUGACAAGCUACUGUCAGCCAGAAGAAUUUGGGAGGGGCCAAAAGGAGGGAGGGAGAUGCCAAGAUAUAAUAUGUCCUGUCAAACUCCCAGAAACUCUCAUGCUGGAAAACAUCUUGACUACACACAUCUUGAGAUACACAUACUGUUAGGACAGACCUUGAAUCAGAUCAAAUACAGGCACAGGUAGUUCUGAAACUUGGCCUGUGUACCCUCGUGCUGAACUGAAUCUCAAAGACAGAGCUUUGGGCACAGUAGUUUUAUUGCUUUGCCAGGAAAGGGGAACACAGAGGGCUAAUGCCCUCAGAACUGUGUGUUCCAACCUGGGGGAGGUUGGGUGAGGAGUUUUAUAGCAAUGGUCCAAAGGGCAGGGUUGUUGAUAAGGACCAGGGUGUGUCCAGGGCCUGCAUUCCUUUAAUCUGGCCUCAGGUGGUAUCUCCUAAUGAGCUUCUCCUGAUGAGGUUCUCAGGGUUAUCAAACUGUGGUUCUCUGGAAUGAAGAAUGUUUCAUAAGUAGUUAACAUCUUCCAUUUGUGGUGGGUUUUAGUUCUGCAGAAGAGCUCAAAGAUUGUUCUGUGUAUUCCUUGAGGCAGAACCAGGACACUGUCCCCGAGCUGCACUAUUAUUUCUUGACCACUCUUCCCUUGUCAUGCAUCUCCUCCUUCCUUGAUUAGCAAUGAUUUGAACCUUCCCUUUGGAACUCAGUGAAGGUAAUGGGGGCUGAAACCUGUUUCCUACAAACAAAAAGUGGGGGACAAAGAAAGGCUUCCAUGCCCAGAGCCCCACAGUGUCCUGCUCAGUUUCAUGCAAGAUGACUGGCCAGAGAAAACCUGAAGGAUGAACUCCACCACCAUAAACUCUGAGACUACAAGUCACGUGGCAGAGAAGUUCUCUUGGGUUCCUUUACCAUACUGCCCUCUGCCUGAGCACCCCAUCCCAAUAAAUUCCCUUACUUUGUCAGCA